GCAUUUGUAGCUCAGUGGAUAGAGCGUCGCCCUCCGGAGGCGAAGGCCGUGGGUUCGAAUCCCGCCAAAUGCGCCA
rnacentral:tRNA from 1 species